CCUACGGGAGGCAGCAGUAGGGAAUCUUCCACAAUGGGCGAAAGCCUGAUGGAGCAACGCCGCGUGGGUGAAGAAGGUCUUCGGAUCGUAAAACCCUGUUGUUAGAGAAGAAAGUGCGUGAGAGUAACUGUUCACGUUUCGACGGUAUCUAACCAGAAAGCCACGGCUAACUACGUGCCAGCAGCCGCGGUAAUACGUAGGUGGCAAGCGUUAUCCGGAUUUAUUGGGCGUAAAGGGAACGCAGGCGGUCUUUUAAGUCUGAUGUGAAAGCCUUCGGCUUAACCGGAGUAGUGCAUUGGAAACUGGUGAACUUGAGUGCAGAAGAGGAGAGUGGAACUCCAUGUGUAGCGGUGGAAUGCGUAGAUAUAUGGAAGAACACCAGUGGCGAAGGCGGCUCUCUGGUCUGUAACUGACGCUGAGGUUCGAAAGCAUGGGUAGCGAACAGGAUUAGAUACCCCUGUAGUC
rnacentral:rRNA from 1 species